UUACGGCCAUAUUACAUUAAAAUACUGGUUCUUGUAUGAUCACAGAAGUUAAGCAACAUUGAGCCUGGUCAAUACCUAGGUGGGUGACUGCUUGGUAAUACCAAGUGCUGUAA